rnacentral:rRNA from 1 species
AUAAGAAAGAACUUAAUUUUGGUUCUGAUUUAACGUUAUUCAGUAGUCUUAAGACAUGCAAAUCGUUAUUUUCGAAAUUUUUAUUUUAUUAGUAAAAUAAAAUUAGAAAAUAAGGUGUAAAGGUGAGUUAUAUAAAUAAGAUAGCCUAUAGUCUUCAUAAAUAGGAGAUAGUACUCUUCUAUUCUUUUUUUUUUGUCUUUAUUUUAUAUUAUAAAAUAAAGAAUAAGAAAGUAGAAGAAUAUUAAAGGAUUUUAUCUGCUAUAGGAUUCUAUUUAUUUUGAUUAGGUAGUUGGUAGGGUAAUAGCCUAACCAAGCCGACAAUCGAAAGCUAUGUUUGAUAGAACCUCUAGCCACAUUGGGAAUGAAAUCUCCCAAAUAGUUACCUUUUUAUUUUUUCUUUUUUGUCUAAAAAGAAUAAAAAUACAAAGCACUAUCAGCAGUCAAGAAUCUUAGUCAAUGCUCGCAAGAGUGAACUAGCUAACUGAAAUCACUAAUUGAUCUUAUCAAUGUGAUAUAGUAAGGGAAAACAAAUGAUAUUACUUUACUUAUAGUGUUGUCUAAUUCUGGUGCCAGAAGACUCGGUAAUACCAGUAACGCGAACGUUAGUCAUCUUUAUCAGGCGUAAAGGGUUUGUAGGCAGCUUUUAAAAAAAAUUCUUAACUAUAUUGUCCUUUUUUAUUCUUUAAAAAAGGAAUAAAUAGUGAAGUCUCUAAUUUGAGAGCUAGAAUCAAAUAGAAGUUAAAAAGUAUAAUACUUAGAGAAGGGUUGAUAUUCUUAGAACCUAAGGGGAAUACUAAAGGUGUAAACAACUAACUAUAAAUGAUUGACGCUGAGACACGAAGGUGAGGAUAGGAAAUAGGAUUAGAUACCCCGGUACCCCUCUCUGUAAACGAUGAAUGGUAGUUAUUAGUGUAUUACUGGUAACGAAGCUAACGCGUUAACCAUUCCGCCUUGGGAGUACGAUUGCAAAGUUGAAAACAAAAAAAUUAGUCGGUCUCGGAGCAAACGGAGUGAAGCAUGUUAUUUAAUACGAUAAUCCGCGUAAAACCUUACCAGUUCUUGUAUAACAAAUUCUAUCUUGUUUUUAUUUUAAAAUAAAAUAGAAUGAAUGUUUUUAAUUUAAAAAAACAUUUAGUUACAGGUGCUGCAUGGCUGUCGUCAGUCCGUAUCGUGAGAAGUUUGGUUAAAUCCUCUAACGGACGAAAUCCCUGUUGUUAAUUUAUUCUUAACAAUUAAUGAUGCUAAAAAAGCACCAUUUGGGGCUAAGACAAGUCGUUAUGGCCCUAAUGAACUGGGCUACAAACGUGCCACAAAAACUUUUACAAUGUGAUGCAAUACUUAGCAAAAAUAGGUGGAGCUAAUCAAUAAAGAAAGUUUAUAACAAAACUGUAAUGAAUUGUCAUCUGCAAUUCGGUGACAUGAAAAAGGAAUUUCGAGUAAUCGUUGAUCACUAGCGCAACGGUGAAGCUUUGAUCCGUGAUGAACUAACUGUCCGUCGCUGGGAAGGAGCUUAAGUUGAGGGAAACUGUGGAUAAAUUGAGGUUUUAUAUGGAAGGGUUUUAUAUUAACCGCCAUAUUAAGUCAAUUGACUUCAGUUAACUUUCUUAGGUAACAUCCCAAAAGUCGUAGCAAGGUAGCUGUACUGGAAAGUGCAGCUGAAUAAUAAGAUAU